UGGAAAGCUGGGGGGCGUGCCUUAAUACAUGCAAGUCGAGCGGACAGAUGGGAGCUUGCUCCCUGAUGUUAGCGGCGGACGGGUGAGUAACACGUGGGUAACCUGCCUGUAAGACUGGGAUAACUCCGGGAAACCGGGGCUAAUACCGGAUGGUUGUUUGAACCGCAUGGUUCAAACAUAAAAGGUGGCUUCGGCUACCACUUACAGAUGGACCCGCGGCGCAUUAGCUAGUUGGUGAGGUAACGGCUCACCAAGGCAACGAUGCGUAGCCGACCUGAGAGGGUGAUCGGCCACACUGGGACUGAGACACGGCCCAGACUCCUACGGGAGGCAGCAGUAGGGAAUCUUCCGCAAUGGACGAAAGUCUGACGGAGCAACGCCGCGUGAGUGAUGAAGGUUUUCGGAUCGUAAAGCUCUGUUGUUAGGGAAGAACAAGUACCGUUCGAAUAGGGCGGUACCUUGACGGUACCUAACCAGAAAGCCACGGCUAACUACGUGCCAGCAGCCGCGGUAAUACGUAGGUGGCAAGCGUUGUCCGGAAUUAUUGGGCGUAAAGGGCUCGCAGGCGGUUUCUUAAGUCUGAUGUGAAAGCCCCCGGCUCAACCGGGGAGGGUCAUUGGAAACUGGGGAACUUGAGUGCAGAAGAGGAGAGUGGAAUUCCACGUGUAGCGGUGAAAAUGCGUAGAGAUGUGGAGGAACACCAGUGGCGAAGGCGACUCUCUGGUCUGUAACUGACGCUGAGGAGCGAAAGCGUGGGGGAGCGAACAGGAUUAGAUACUCUGGUAGUCCACGCCGUAAACGAUGAGUGCUAAGUGUUAGGGGGUUUCCGCCCCUUAGUGCUGCAGCUAACGCAUUAAGCACUCCGCCUGGGGAGUACGGUCGCAAGACUGAAACUCAAAGGAAUUGACGGGGCCCCGCACAAGCGUGGAGCAUGGUGGUUUAAUUCGAAGCAACGCGAGACUUACCAGUCUGACAUCCUCUGACAUCUUAGAAUAGGACGUUCCGUCGGGGCCAGAAUGAUGUGGUGCAUGUUGUCCGUCAGCUCGUGUCGUGAGAUGUUGGGUUAAGUCCCGCAACGAGCGCAACCCUUGAUCUUAGUUGCCAGCAUUCAGUUGGGCACUCUAAGGUGACUGCCGGUGACAAACCGGAGGAAGGUGGGGAUGACGUCAAAUCAUCAUGCCCCUUAUGACCUGGGCUACACACGUGCUACAAUGGACAGAACAAAGGGCAGCGAAACCGCGAGGUUAAGCCAAUCCCACAAAUCUGUUCUCAGUUCGGAUCGCAGUCUGCAACUCGACUGCGUGAAGCUGGAAUCGCUAGUAAUCGCGGAUCAGCAUGCCGCGGUGAAUACGUUCCCGGGCCUUGUACACACCGCCCGUCACACCACGAGAGUUUGUAACACCCGAAGUCGGUGAGGUAACCUUUAGGAGCCAGCCGCCGAAGGUGGACCAGGAUGAUGGGGCA
rnacentral:rRNA from 1 species